CCGGGCGCACGGAGGCCGGUCCGAGCGCCGCCUCUGCCUUACAAGGCCAGCGCUGCGCAGGCCCCGCGGCUGUCGGCCCCGUGCGCAGGGGCGUGGGAACGCCGGGGGCGGCGCCUGUGCGGCAGCACCUGGCCCUCGGACCCCGCAAGGCCGGCGCGGUCCCCUAGGGUCCCCGCAGGGCGCGGGUGGAUGCGAUGGCGCCGGCGGGGGAAGCUCCGCAAAGACGCUCGGGCUCCACGGGGGCGCGCAGGCCCGGGCGGGGAUGGGGCCGCGCCCGAGAGUCUGGGAGCACGGGAGCGCGCGGCGGGCGCCCGGGCCCCGGGGUCGGCCGAGGCGGGGAGGCGGGUCCGUGCCGGCACCGGGCACCGGGCCCAGCUGGGCCUCCUUCCCCGGGGGACAAGCAGCGACUGCGUCCCCGCCCGGCCCCAACUCCCGCUUGAGGCCUUCGUUCUUCCUGCGGACGCACACAGAGAUCUCAGUGCAUGAUUCCUUGUCUGGUUCAGACAGUAGCUGCCACAGCCUCGCUCCUGCCCCUCAGUCCUCUGGAGAAAUGACCCUCAUCUUCCCUGCGGUUGGGAGGGAGUGGAGAUCGGAGCGCCUCGCUGUGGGCAUGUAAUGGCCUCUAACGCCCUCCCGUCACAGUGCUUCUCUGCCC
rnacentral:lncRNA from 1 species